rnacentral:rRNA from 1 species
UACGGAGGGGGCAAGCGUUGUUCGGAAUUACUGGGCGUAAAGGGCGCGCAGGCGGCUGCUCAAGUCAGGCGUGAAAGGCCUGGGCUCAACCCGGGAAUUGCGCUUGAGACUGGGCUGGCUUGAGUGCGGGAGAGGAUGGUGGAAUUCCCAGUGUAGAGGUGAAAUGCGUAGAUGUCAGGAAGAACACCGGUGGCGAAAGCGCUCUGCUAGGCCGCAACUGACACUGAGGGACGAAAGCUAGGGGAGCGAAUGGG